CCUACGGGAGGCAGCAGUAGGGAAUAUUGCUCAAUGGGGGAAACCCUGAAGCAGCAACGCCGCGUGGAGGAUGAAGGUUUUAGGAUUGUAAACUCCUUUUGUUAGGGAGCAAAGGGCGCCACGUGUGGCGUUUUGCGAGUACCUGAAGAAAAAGCAUCGGCUAACUCCGUGCCAGCAGCCGCGGUAAUACGGAGGAUGCGAGCGUUAUCCGGAUUUAUUGGGUUUAAAGGGUGCGCAGGCGGAAUGUCAAGUCAGCGGUAAAAUUUCGGGGCUCAACCCCGUCGUGCCGUUGAAACUGGCGUUCUUGAGUGAGCGAGAAGUAUGCGGAAUGCGUGGUGUAGCGGUGAAAUGCAUAGAUAUCACGCAGAACUCCGAUUGCGAAGGCAGCAUACCGGCGCUCAACUGACGCUCAUGCACGAAAGCGUGGGUAUCGAACAGGAUUAGAUACCCGAGUAGUC
rnacentral:rRNA from 1 species